AAUGAACGCUGGCGGCAUGCCUAACACAUGCAAGUCGAACGAAGGCUUCGGCCUUAGUGGCGCACGGGUGCGUAACGCGUGGGAAUCUGCCCCUGGGUUCGGAAUAACCGUUAGAAAUGACGGCUAAUACCGGAUGAUGACGUAAGUCCAAAGAUUUAUCGCCCAGGGAUGAGCCCGCGUAGGAUUAGCUAGUUGGUGAGGUAAAAGCUCACCAAGGCGACGAUCCUUAGCUGGUCUGAGAGGAUGAUCAGCAACACUGGGACUGAGACACGGCCCAGACUCCUACGGGAGGCAGCAGUGGGGAAUCUUGGACAAUGGGCGCAAGCCUGAUCCAGCCAUGCCGCGUGAGUGAUGAAGGCCUUAGGGUUGUAAAACUCUUUCAGCGGGGACGAUAAUGACGGUACCCGCAGAAGAAGCCCCGGCUAACUUCGUGCCAGCCGCCGCGGUAA
rnacentral:rRNA from 1 species